rnacentral:rRNA from 1 species
UACGUAGGGGGCAAGCGUUGUCCGGAAUUAUUGGGCGUAAAGAGCGUGUAGGCGGUCCGGUAAGUCGGCUGUGAAAGUCCAGGGCUCAACCCUGGGAUGCCGGUCGAUACUGCGGGGCUAGAGUGCGGAAGGGGCAACUGGAAUUCUCGGUGUAGCGGUGAAAUGCGUAGAUAUCGAGAGGAACACCUGCGGCGAAGGCGGGUUGCUGGGCCGACACUGACGCUGAGGCGCGAAAGCCAGGGGAGCGAACGGG